rnacentral:rRNA from 1 species
AAUUUUAAAAAUUAAUUUUAUUUAAAAAAUGUAAUUUAAAAAUUAUAUUAUUUUUAAAGUAUUAAUAAAAAUAAGAAUAUACUUAGUAAUUUAGAUGGAAAGUAAUAAUUUUUUAUAGAGAAAAAGUAAAGUGAUUGAAAUUUUAAAAUUAAUAAAAUAAAAAAAUUUUUAAAAGUAAAGUUAAUUUCUUGUAUCUUGUGUAUCAGAGUUUAAAAAUUUAAAAUAAUUAAAAUUAAUUUCUCGAAAAAAAAAGAUUUAAAAAUUUAAUAAUAAUUAAUGUUAAAUAAUUAUUAAUAAUAAAUUUUUAGAAAUGAAACGUUUUCGUUUUUUUUUAUAUCUAGUUUUAAAAGAAAAAUUUUGAAUAUGGUUUAUAUUUUAGUUAGAUAAAAUUUUUUAUUUAAAAUUAUAUUAAUAAAUUUUUAAUUACGUAUUAAAUUGGAUAAAUUUUAUAAGUAUUUUAAUUAGAAAUUAAUAUUUAAAAAUAAAUUAAAAAAAUAUAAUAAAUUAAAAAUAGGGAUAAGCUUAUUUUUAAAAUUUUAAAUAUAAUUAAAAUUUUUUUAAUAAAAUUAUAAUAUUAAAAUUUUAGAUUUAAUUAAAGUUUAUAAUUAAUUAUUUAUUAAAAAAUUUAAUUUUUAAAAAAAAUUAAUAAUUUAUUUUAAAUUAAUUUAAAAUUAAAUAAAAUUAGUUUAUAUGUUAGAAUUAGUAUAAAAUUUUAAGUAAAUAUUUUUAAAAAUUGUUUAAAAGUUAAAAUAAUGAAUUCGGCAAAAAUUUUAUUUCUUGAAAAUAAUUAAAUAUUCAUCUGUUUAACAAAAACAUUGUUUUUUGUUUAAAAUUUAAAAUUUAAUCUGCCCACUGAAAAAUAAUUUUAAAGGGCUGCAGAAUUUUAACUGUACAAAGGUAGCAUAAUAAUUUGUUUUUUAAUUGGAAACUUGAAUGAAUGAUUGGAUGAGAUAUAAGCUUUAUUAUUAUUUAAGUUUUAUAAUUUAAUUUUUUAAUUAAAAAGUUAAAAUUAAAAAAAUAGACGAGAAGACCCUUUAGAGUUUGAUUUUUAUUUAUAAGUACUCUAAAAUAAAAUAAAUUAUAAAAUUUAUUAUUCUUAAAAAUUUGAUUGGGGUGAUUGAUAAAUUGAAUUAAACUUUAUUAAAUUAAUUAAUUUUAUUUUAAGAAUAAAAUAUUGUAUAAUGAAUAUUUUUAAAAUUAUUUAGUUUUAUGGCAAUUAGAAUAAAUUACCUAAGGGAUAACAGCGUUAUUUUUAAUUUAAGAUCUUAUUAAAUUGGAAGAGUGCGACCUCGAUGUUGGAUUAAGAUAAAUUUUAAAUGGAAGGAUUUAAAAAUUUAGUCUGUUCGACUAUUAAAAUCUUACAUGAUCUGAGUUCAAACCGGUGUGAGCCAGGUUGGUUUCUAUCUUUUUUUGUUAUUAAUAAAUUUUAGUACGAAAGGAUUAAAUUUAAUUUAAAAUUUUAAAUUAAGAAAUGAA